rnacentral:pre_miRNA from 1 species
AAUUUCAGCUGAAAAAGUCAUGAACAUGAAAGUUGUAGAGCUCAUCAAGACAUACAACUUUUAUUUUGGUCAUUUCUUCAUCCGAUAAAUUGAUAAUAAUAUUGUUCACAAAGUUUACAUAUCUCUCUUAUAGUUUAUAGAACCAAAUGAGAUAGAUGCAAAUUUUGUGAAUAAUGUUACUAUCACUUUGUCGGAUGAAGAAAUGACCAAAAUAAAAGUUAUAGAUCUUGAUGAAUUAUAUAAACUUUGUUGUUGAUGACUUUAGUAUUUCAAAAU